rnacentral:tRNA from 3 species
GGGCUGGUAGAUUAGCGGCAGAUCACCUGCCUUGCACGCAGGGGGUCGUGGGUUCAAAUCCCACCCAGUCCACCA